rnacentral:lncRNA from 1 species
GGAAAAGACAAACAUGUUUAAGAAAAAGAUGGCAUCUUAAAGUGCUGAAGAACUUUCAACAGUUUAAAUGCCAGACAUUAUCAUUUUCUAAGUAAACCUGCUUUUGUUCAAAAGCUCAACUAUUUUGUGCUUCUGUCGGUGGCUUUGCACAGGUGCCAGCCAGUACUGAAGGCAUGAACUGCUGAGUUCUUUCCAGGAGCAUACUUGUGGGUGCCCAGAUACUGGGUAUAUUCAGGAACUGGCUGUGUUCUCACUGUAGUACUUACAAAUGUAUCGGAAUCUGCUGAAGCCAACAUUCAGAAAAAAUAUGGAACUACCCAAGAAAUUUACCCAAUGAAAGAGACCCUCAGAUUUUGUACUAGUGGUAAGAAAAUACUUGGAAGAAACCUCU